rnacentral:rRNA from 1 species
GACGAACGCUGGCGGCAUGCCUAACACAUGCAAGUCGAACGGAGAUUAUUUCGGUAAUCUUAGUGGCGAACGGGUGAGUAAUGCGUAGGCAACCUGCCCUUUAGUUGAGGACAACAUCCCGAAAGGGGUGCUAAUACCGAAUGUGAUCACAUUUCCGCAUGGAAUUGUGAUGAAAGAUGGCCUCUAUUUAUAAGCUAUCGCUAAAGGAUGGGCCUGCGUCUGAUUAGAUAGUUGGCGGGGUAACGGCCCACCAAACCUACGAUGGAUAGGGGUUCUGAGAGGAAGGUCCCCCACAUUGGAACUGAGACACGGUCCAA